rnacentral:rRNA from 1 species
CCUACGGGAGGCAGCAGUGGGGAAUAUUGCACAAUGGGCGAAAGCCUGAUGCAGCAACGCCGCGUGAGCGAUGAAGGCCUUCGGGUCGUAAAGCUCUGUCCUCAAGGAGGAUAAUGACGGUACUUGAGGAGCCAGCCUCGGCUAACUACGUCCCAGCAGCCGCGGUAAUACGUAGGGGGCUAGCGUUAUCCGGUAUUACUGGGCGUAAAGGGUGCGUAGGCGGUAUGACAAGUCAAGGGUGAAAUCCCCGCGCUCAACGUGGGAACUGCCUUUGAAACUGGCGAACUGGAGUGUGUGAGAGGAUAGUGGAAUUCCAGGUGUAGGAGUGGAAUCCGUAGAUAUCUGGAGGAACAUCAGUGGCGAAGGCGACUAUCUGGCACAUAACUGACGCUGAGGAGCGAAAGCGUGGGUAGCGAACAGGAUUAGAUACCCUUGUAGUC